rnacentral:rRNA from 1 species
UACGUAGGGAGCAAGCGUUGUUCGGAUUUACUGGGCGUAAAGGGCGCGUAGGCGGCGCGGUAAGUCACUUGUGAAAUCUCUGAGCUUAACUCAGAACGGCCAAGUGAUACUGCAGUGCUAGAGUGCAGAAGGGGCAAUCGGAAUUCUUGGUGUAGCGGUGAAAUGCGUAGAUAUCAAGAGGAACACCUGAGGCGGAGGCGGGUUGCUAGGCUGACACUGACGCUGAUGCGCGAAAGCCAGGGGAGCAAACGGG